UUUUGAGCAUCGCCGUCUACUC
rnacentral:piRNA from 1 species